rnacentral:sRNA from 1 species
GCCAGGUGUGGUGGCGCAGGCCUGUAAUCCCAGCGGCUCGGGAGGCUGAGGCAGGAAGAUAGUUUAAAGCCAGCCUCAG